GAUGGACGCUAGCGGCAGGCUUAAUACAUGCAAGUCGAGGGGCAGCAGGAAUAGCAAUAUUUGCUGGCGACCGGCGCACGGGUGCGUAACACGUAUACAAUCUGCCUUUAACAGGGGGAUAGCCCGGAGAAAUCCGGAUUAAUACCCACUAACAGUUUCUCGGCAUCGGGAAGAUUUGAAAGCUCCGGCGGUUAAAGAUGAGUAUGUGCCUGAUUAGCUAGUUGGUGAGGUAACGGCUCACCAAGGCGACGAUCAGUAGGGGAUCUGAGAGGAUUAACCCCCACACGGAUACUGAGACACGGAUCCGACUCCUACGGGAGGCAGCAGUAAGGAAUAUUGGACAAUGCCCGCAAGGGUGAUCCAGCCAUGCCGCGUGCAGGAAGACGGCCCUAUGGGUUGUAAACUGCUUUUACACCGGAGAAAA
rnacentral:rRNA from 1 species